rnacentral:rRNA from 1 species
GAAUUAGAUUCAGGCCUAACACAUGCAAGUCGUACGGGAAUUUUUAAUUCAAGUGGCGGACGGGUAAGUAACACGUAAGAAUUUGCCUUUAGGAGGGGGACAACAACUGGAAACGGUUGCUAAUACCCCAUAUGCUUUCGAGUGAAAUGGAUUUUUCCGCCUAAAGAGAAGCUUGCGGCUGAUUAGCUUGUUGGUGAGGUAAUGGCUCACCAAGACGACGAUCUGUAUCUGGUUUGAGAGGAUGAUCAGACACACUGGAACUGAGACACGGUCCAGACUCCUACGGGAGGCAGCAGUGGGGAAUUUUCCGCAAUGGGCGAAAGCCUGACGGAGCAAUCUCGCGUGAGGGAUGAAGGCCUAUGGGUUGUAAACCUCUUUUUUCAGGGAGGAACAAAAUGACGUGUACCGAAGAA